rnacentral:miRNA from 1 species
GAAGGUCCCAUGUAUUUAAUAAUUCACCAAUUAAAUAACGUGCCAUGUCACCGGUGCUUAACUUAUGUUAAGCAUUAAUGACAUGACAAGCCAUUUAAUUGGUGAAUCAUUACAUAUAUGAGACCUAC